rnacentral:rRNA from 1 species
AAACCAGCACCUCAAGUGGUCAGGAUGAUUAUUGGGCCUAAAGCAUCCGUAGCCGGCUCUGUAAGGUUUCGGUUAAAUCUGUACGCUCAACGUACAGGCUGCCGGGAAUACUGCAGAGCUAGGGAGUGGGAGAGGUAGACGGUACUCGGGAGGAAGGGGUAAAAUCCUUUGAUCUCUCGAUGACCACCUGUGGCGAAGGCGGUCUACCAGAACACGUUCGACGGUGAGGGAUGAAAGCUGGGGGAGCAAACCGGAUUAGAAACCCGAGUAGUCC